rnacentral:lncRNA from 1 species
CGCUGCGCCCGCCCCUUCCGCCCAGGGCCCGUCCUUUCCCGGUCAUCCCAGCCCCUUCCCGGCCAGGCUCCGCCCUCCACCCCGCCCCACGCCAGCCCGUCACUCAGCAGUCACUCGGUCACUUGGGGAAAAGCGGGCGCCAAGGGCAGAGUGGGCUGGGUUGCCGCCAGUUGCCCUGUCCCAGUGUCCCCCGCCCCCGACUGUCCCAGCCCACGCCCUGAACCCUCCGGAUGACGCUCGCCCAGCUCUUGGCGGCCAUUGGGACCCCUACUCCACUUCUCUGCACAUCUCGCGAGCCUCGGAUGGCGCCCGAGAGCCCAGGACCGGCCACGCGCGGACCUGCGCCGCCACCUGGUGGCCGCCGGCGCAAACGGCACCCGUAAGGGCGGGCCCCUGGCGCGAGCCGCCCCUUCGUUCGACCCCGCAGGCGCGCGGGCUCUCGACUUCGCCCAGUGGGGGCCGCGGGUCUCGCGCUGAGGAUGCUCAGAAGAACAUUCGCACGACUGGAGCCAGGGAGAUGCAGAUGCAGCACCAAGUCCCAGAGGGAACACUAUGGGCCAAACGGCAGUGUGCAUGGCAGGAUGGUGUACAUGGCUCAACCCAAGGCCUCUCAGGAAUACGUCAAAAAGCCCCAAGAGAAGUUUACAGCAAUCUGAAGUAAAUGAAAAUGAAAACACAACUUACAAAAUUCAUGGAAUGCCAAGGAAACAGUGCCAAGAGGGAAAUCUGUAGCAUUAGAUGCACACGGUGUAAGUGAAAAGACCUGAAUUAGUAAUCUGGAUGUCUACUUUUGGAAACUACAGAAAAGUAAAGCAAUGAAAGUACUAAAGCAAGCAGAAGAAAUAACAAAAACUAGGGGAAAAUCAAUAAAACUAAAACCUUGUUCUUUGAAAAAACUUUUUCAAUGAAUUGAUAAACCACUGGCCAGGCUUAUCACAAACGGAAAGCAGACAUUACUCAGUAAGAGGAGCCCUCGCUGCUUACCCCAAGGGCAUGAAAGGGAUGAUAAAAGAAUAUUACGAACAAUUACAGGUCCACACAUUUGAUAACUUACAUGAAACGGACUGAUUUAUUGAAAGACACAAACUAUCCAACUCAUACAAGGAGAAACAAACUGACCAAGCCUAUAUCUAAUUAGAUUUAAAUAAUUAAUUAAUUUUCCAUGUUGAACCUGGGGCCUUGCACAUGCUAGGCAAGCACUGUACCACUGAGCUACACCACCAGCGCUCCACUGGUAAAUUCUACCAAACACUUAAGGAAUAUACCAAUUCUCUAUAAUUUCUUCCAGAAAAUAGCAAAGAGAACACUUUUUAAUUCAUUCAGAGGCAGUAUUCCCCUGAUAAAACCAAAACCAGAUAAAGACACAAGAAAAAAAAGGGGAAACUACAGACCAAUAUCUCUCAUGAAUGUAGAUGCAAAACUCCUCAACAAAAUAUUAGCAAAUCAAUUAUAGCAGUGUAUAAGAAUUCUACAUCACAGCCAAGUGAGGUUUAUUCCAGGGAUAUAAGGCUGGUUCAGCAUUGGAAAGCUAUUAAUGUAAUGUCGUCCAUCUCAUCAUCAACAGGUUAAGAAUGAAAAAACCACAUAAACUUAUCAUUUGUUGCAGGAGAAACAUUUGACAAAAUCCAAUACCCAUUCGUGAUUAAAACUCAAAACCUGGGAAUGAAGGAGAAUUUCCUUAACUUGAUAAAGAUCAUCAAAAAUGCUCAGCUAACAUCAGACAAUGGGGAGAGACUAGAUAUCUUCCUCCGCAAUCAGGAGCAAGACACUCUUCUCUCCCUACUCCUCCUCAGUAUUGUACUAGAAAUCCAGGCUAACAAAAUAAGACAAGAAGAAUAAAAUAUGUGCAAUUGGGAAGAAAAAAAUAGAAUUGUCUUAUUUGUAGAUGGCGUGACUAUGUAGGAAACCCCAAAGAAUUAACAAUAAAAGUCCUGGAACUAAUCGAGAAUUAUGGCAACAGUCCAGGAUACACGGUUAAUUUAUGAUAGUCACUUGCUUCCUAUUUACUAGGAAUAGACAAGGGUAAAUUAACAUUUAAUACACAAUACCACUUACAUUAGCACCACAAGAAAUGAAAUACUUAGGUAUAAAUCUACAAAUAUGUACAGGAUCUACAUGAGAACAACUACAAACCUCUGAUGAAAUAAAUCAAAGAUAUAAAUAAGUGGAGAGAUAGUCCAUUUUUAUCAGUAGGAACACAAUAUUGUCACAAUAUCAGUUCUCCCCAACUUGAUCUGUAGAUUCAAUACAGUCCCAGUCAAAAUCUAGCAAAUUACUUGUGGAUAUUGACAAACUGAUUCCAAAGUACAUGAGAAAAAUCAAACGCCCAGAAUACCCAGUUGCUGCAGCCGUAGCAACUCUGGCGCUGGCAGAGGACAGACCAACAGGCCAAGAGAACAGGACCAAGAACCCAAAACCAACCCAUGCAAGCACCACCAACUGCCUUUGACAAAGGAGCACAGGUAAUGUCACGGAGGAAGACUGUAUUUUUUUUUUUAAUUUAAAUUGUGGUGUAACAAUUGGAUGUCCAUAUGUGAAAAUAUUAAUCUACACAUAAACUUUAUGCCUUUCACGAAAAGUAAUUCAAAAAUUGACCACAGACCUAAAUGUAAAAUGAAAAACUAUAAAUUUCUAUAAGAUAACAUUGGAGAGAUCUAGGUGAGCUUAGAUUUGGUGUCUAUUGAUUUUUGUGGUGCUGGGCAUCGGGCCCAGGGCCUAGUGCAUGCUAAACACACACUCUACCACUGAAGUACACCCCCAGCUCUGGCAAUAAUUUUUUGCAUACAAUAUGAUAAAUACAGCCCC